CGAUGGGACGAAAAGACCCCGUGAACCUUCACUACAGCUUGACAUUGGUCAUGUGCCUGCCAUGUGUAGCAUAGGUGGGAGGCUAGGAAGGGAUUGCGCCAGCAGUCCUGGAGCCGUCAGUGAAAUACCACUCUUGUCUGGUGUGUGGCCUAACCCCUUUUACUAGGGGGACCAUGUCUGGUGGGUAGUUUGACUGGGGU
rnacentral:rRNA from 1 species